UACGGAGGAUCCAAGCGUUAUCCGGAUUUAUUGGGUUUAAAGGGUGCGUAGGCGGCCUAUUAAGUCAGGGGUGAAAGACGGUAGCUUAACUAUCGCAGUGCCUUUGAUACUGAUGGGCUUGAAUGAACUAGGGGUAGGCGGAAUGUGACAAGUAGCGGUGAAAUGCAUAGAUAUGUCACAGAACACCAAUUGCGAAGGCAGCUUACUAUGGUUUUAUUGACGCUGAGGCACGAAAGCGUGGGGAUCAAACAGG
rnacentral:rRNA from 1 species